CCCUUAGAUGUUCUGGGCCGCACGCGCGCUACAAUGAUGAAUUCAACGAGUUUAUAACCUUGGUUGAAAAGCCUGGGUAAUCUUUUGAACUUUCGUCGUGAUGGGGCUAGACCCUUGCAAUUAUUGGUCUCCAACGAGGAAUUCCUAGUAAACGCAAGUCAUCAGCUUGCAUUGAUUACGUCCCUGCCCUUUGUACACACCGCCCGUCGCACCUACCGAUUGAAUGGUCCGGUGAAAUCUUCGGAUUGAGACUUUGAUUUCUUCACGGAAAACGCUGUUUUAAAAAGUUGAUUAAACCUUACCAUUUAGAGGGAGGUGAAGUCGUAACA
rnacentral:rRNA from 1 species